GAUGAACGCUGGCGGCGUGCCUAAUACAUGCAAGUCGAGCGAAAAGACGAGGAGCUUGCUCCUCUGACGUUAGCGGCGGACGGGGGAGUAACACGUGGAUAAAAUACCUAUAAGACUGGGAUAACUUCGGGAAACCGGAGCUAAUACCGGAUAAUAUAUUGAACCGCAUGGUUCAAUAGUUAAAGACGGUUUUGCUGUCACUUAUAGAUGGAUCCACGCCGCAUUAGCUAGUUGGUAAGGUAACGGCUUACCAAGGCAACGAUGCGUAGCCGAUCUGAGAGGGUGAUCGGCCACACUGGAACUGAGACACGGUCCAGACUCCUACGGGAGGCAGCAGUAGGGAAUCUUGCGCAAUGGGCGAAAGCCUGAUGGAGCAACGCCGCGUGAAUGAUGAAGGUCUUCGGAUCGUAAAACUCUGUUAGCAGGGAAGAACAAAGUUGUAAGUAACUAUGCACGUCUUGACGGUACCUAAUCAGAAAGCCACGGCUAACUACGUG
rnacentral:rRNA from 1 species